AACGAACGCUGGCGGCAGGCCUAACACAUGCAAGUCGAGCGCGCCCUUCGGGGUGAGCGGCGGACGGGUGAGUAACGCGUGGGAACGUGCCCUUCUCUGCGGAAUAGCCUCGGGAAGCUGAGAGUAAUACCGCAUACGCCCUUUGGGGGAAAGAUUUAUCGGAGAAGGAUCGGCCCGCGUUGGAUUAGGUAGUUGGUGGGGUAAUGGCCCACCAAGCCGACGAUCCAUAGCUGGUUUGAGAGGAUGAUCAGCCACACUGGGACUGAGACACGGCCCAGCCUCCUACGGGAGGCAGCAGUGGGGAAUCUUAGACAAUGGGGGCAACCCUGAUCUAGCCAUGCCGCGUGAGUGAUGAAGGCCUUAGGGUUGUAAAGCUCUUUCAGCUGGGAAGAUAAUGACGGUACCAGCAGAAGAAGCCCCGGCUAACUCCGUG
rnacentral:rRNA from 1 species